rnacentral:rRNA from 1 species
ACAACAGUUGGAAACGACUGCUAAUACCGCAUAAGCCCACGAUCCGGCAUCGGAUUGAGGGAAAAGGAUUUAUUCACUUCAGGAUGGACUCGCGUCCAAUUAGCUAGUUGGUGAGGUAACGGCCCACCAAGGCGACGAUUGGUAGCCGGACUGAGAGGUUGAACGGCCACAUUGGGACUGAGACACGGCCCAGACUCCUACGGGAGGCAGCAGUGGGGGAUAUAGCACAAUGGGGGAAACCCUGAUGCAGCGACGCCGCGUGGAGGAAGAAGGUUUUCGGAUUGUAAACUCCUGUCGUUAGGGACGAUAAUGACGGUACCUAACAAGAAAGCACCGGCUAACUACGUGCCAGCAGCCGCGGUAAAACGUAGGGUGCAAGCGUUGUCCGGAAUUACUGGGUGUAAAGGGAGCGCAGGCGGACCGGCAAGUUGGAAGUGAAAACUAUGGGCUCAACCCAUAAAUUGCUUUCAAAACUGCUGGCCUUGAGUAGUGCAGAGGUAGGUGGAAUUCCCGGUGUAGCGGUGGAAUGCGUAGAUAUCGGGAGGAACACCAGUGGCGAAGGCGACCUACUGGGCACCAACUGACGCUGAGGCUCGAAAGCAUGGGUAGCAAACAGGAUUAGAUACCCUGGUAGUCCAUGCCGUAAAC